UGUCCACUGUCCAGGACCCAGUGCGGGUGCUCCAGAGAUGAUCGAAUUUGGGUCCCCUGACGCGCUCCAAACUUCGUCCUCAGCUUGACACAAGCUAGGGUCAUCUGGGAAGAAGCACCUCAAUUGGAACAACACCCCUGUCAAAUGCCUGUAGUUGCUUCAUUGUACAACUGAGGAUACAAAGGAUCAACCCGCUGAGCCUGAAGCAACAGUGACCUGGAAAUCACAAAUGCUAUGCUUCCCUCCAGUGGCCCAUUAUCACCAACAAGUACUCAGCUGUGAUGGAUGGCUGUGGAGCCAAGUUGGUAAAUUUGCAUAAUGAGCCUUCCGCAAACAUUACAUUGAAAACAACAUGGUGGAUCACAUCACACACAAGGCCAGCUUUUCAAUACGUUAUUUCCAAUUGAGAGGGUGUAAAGGAUGGUCACAGCACAUUCCUCUUGGGGAACCUCGAAUCACACCUAUAACCCUAACACUGUGAGUCUAAGACAAGAGGAUCACCAGUUUGAGGCUGGCCUGGGCUACAUGAUGAGCUUGAGGUCCUCGGAGACCUGAACCACCUUGAUUAAGGUCCAGCUUCUCCAUGGCUAUACAGAGACAUCUAAAGGAGAGUGCUUCUAACUGUGGACAGAAGAGCUUCUGCCAUCUCUAACUUCAUAGUCCCAGAUGUGAAAAAAAGAAGCCCCAGACUAAUCUCAUUCCCAGAUUACUCUCCCUGGACACUUUGGAAGCCCAUCCAAAAGGCCAUUACAGAAGAAAUGAAGGCUACAUUCGUUGUAGCCUUCGUCUCACCUGAAUUCCUGACUCACAGAAUCUGUGAGUAAGAUAGCGGCUGGAAAUGUUCAGUUGGUAGGUUGCUUGAUAACAUGUAUAUUAAGUCCUGAUUUUGAUUUCCACUACCACAUAAACCACAUCAUAUGGGAGGAAGAAGCAGCAGGAUCCCAGGUUCAAGGUCAUCCUCUACUACACAGCAAGUUCAAGGUCAAUAUGGAACAUAUGAAACUUUGUCUUUAGGAAGGAAGGAAGGAAGGAAGGAAGGAAGGAAGGAAAGAAGGAAGGAAGGAAGGAAGGAAGGAAGGAAGGAAGGAAGGAAGGAAACAGGAAAUCAGAACAUGGGACUGAACAAGGCUGGUGUAAGCCCUGAGACACGCGUACACCACACCACACCACACAUGACACACUAGUGUGGAACAGAACCGCUACCACUGCUGUCCCAGCGCUGUCACUCGAGUGUUCAGAAGGAUGGACAAUGCAUGAUGCCUGCUUCUCAGGUCACUACCCCCUUCUCAGUCCCUGGGGAAAGGUUUGUCUUGUUUGUGAAGCAGGUCUGAGGUGCAAGGGGAACUAGUAGAAUACCAGCCAUUCUCACCAUCUAGAGUGGGAGGUCGGUUCUGGCUAUGGGUCAGGGGAUUUGUCAAACACAGGAAAGAGGCUUCAUUUGUUUGUGGGAAUUGAACCCAGGGCUUGACAAGCUAGGUAAGCACUCUCUCUCCCACUGGUCCCUCUCUCUAGCUCUCUCUUUUGUAUGUUUGAGACAGGGUCUUGCUAAGUUGCUCAGGCAGCGCUUGAACUUGUGAGUUUCCUGCCUCAGCAUCCUGGGGAGCUGAGAGGACAGGCCUGCACUACACUUAUUGCUGGAAAAGGUUUGGAUCCUGAGCUGCCUAACUGAGUAACAGAUGUCCACCACACAGUGCGUAUUACCAAAGCCAGUGGAGAAACACAGAGUGGGGGAUUCCCACCAAGACUCUGCAUCCAGUACAGAUAAAGGCAGAGGCCUGGACUUCAAAAGUGAUAUCCUGCGGCCAGUUGAAUGAAGGCCAGAAUCAUUACCCAAUAUAAAUUUAUUUUCAUCUUUGAACUUUAUUCCUUAGAGAAUUCCCUACUUACAGAUUUCCUAGAUCAUGACUCACAGAUGACCAAAACCCUCCAAAGGUGUCCCAUCUCAAAUCAUUGGAAUAGUCCUUACAAUGUCUGCCCCACCCCCACCCUGCCUUAUCACCAGAUGUUUUCCUUUCAAACGGCUUACACUAGAUCCCUGGUGUUCCCCAGAGCACGCACCAUCCUCCUUUCCAGUGUGUUUGUACGUAUUUCUAUUACUGAGGCCACACAUGAAAUAGAAACUGGUCCCAUCUACCUUCUCUUUAUCCUGCAUCAUUAUCUGCCUUAGCUCUCACCACAUCCAAUGGAAAUAUUUAUCUUCUUGUCUAUUGUCUGACUGUCCCCCAGAAUGUUAUCUACUUCAGGGAAGGGAUUUGUUUUGUCAGACACUGUAUCUCUAGUGCCUGGAACCAAGCCUCAUUGGAACAGCUAGCAUUCAGUAAACACUUGUUGAACACACUGAAGACUCAUUAGAUUUGAUUCCUUUGUUUUGAUGCAACUUGUUAUCACUGUAAAACAAAGUCCCUGGCCCAGAGGGGAUUUCUGUGUGGAUGCAUAAUCAUCUAUGCAAUGCUUUUAAUAAAAAAAAUCUGUACAAUUUA